rnacentral:rRNA from 1 species
CGAUAUAUUUUUUUGGGGCGGAGUGAUUUUCUAACUCCAACCCAUGUGAACUUACCUUUUGUUGCCUCGGCAGAAGUUAUAGGUCUUCUUAUAGCUGCUGCCGGUGGACCAUUAAACUCUUGUUAUUUUAUGUAAUCUGAGCGUCUUAUUUUAAUAAGUCAAAACUUUCAACAACGGAUCUCUUGGUUCUGGCAUCGAUGAAGAACGCAGCGAAAUGCGAUAAGUAAUGUGAAUUGCAGAAUUCAGUGAAUCAUCGAAUCUUUGAACGCACAUUGCGCCCAUUAGUAUUCUAGUGGGCAUGCCUGUUCGAGCGUCAUUUCAACCCUUAAGCCUAGCUUAGUGUUGGGAAUCUACUUCUUUAUAGUUGUAGUUCCUGAAAUACAACGGCGGAUUUGUAGUAUCCUCUGAGCGUAGUAAUUUUUUCUCGCUUUUGUUAGGUGCUAUAACUCCCAGCCGCUAAACCCCCAAUUUUUUGUGGUUGACCUCGGAUCAGGUAGGAAUACCCGCUGAACUUAAGCAUAUCAAUAAGCGGAGGAAGGAUCCUUAAAGAGGUUUUUCUAAACUCCCACCCGGGGGAACUUACCUUUUGGUUGCCCGCCAAAAGUAAAAGGGUCUUCUUAAUAGCUGCUGCCGGGGGACAUUAAAAUCUGGUUAUUUUAUGUAAUCGAAGCGUCUUAUUUUAAUAAGUCAAACUUUUCACAACGGAUCUCUUGGUUCUGGCAUCGAUGAAGAAGCGCGAAAUGCGAUAAGUUAAUGUGAAUUGUAAAAUUCGUGAAUAUCAAUCUUUGAACGCACUGGGGCCUUUAUAUUCUAGGGGGGAUGCCGGGUCAGCGACAUUUCCCCCCUAACCAAGGUGGGGGGUGGGACACUCAUCUUUAUAAUAGGUUGGUCUCCGAACA